rnacentral:rRNA from 1 species
UACGUAGGGGGCAAGCGUUGUCCGGAUUUACUGGGCGUAAAGAGCGCGUAGGCGGAAGCUUAAGUGUGGCCUGAAAGCCCCCGGCUCAACCGGGGAGGGUGGCUGCAAACUGGGUUUCUUGAGGGCGAUAGAGGGAGAGUGGAAUUCCGUGGUGUAGCGGUGAAAUGCGUAGAUAUCAGGAGGAACACCGGUGGCGAAGGCGGCUCUCUGGAUCGGCCCUGACGCUGAGGCGCGAAAGCGUGGGGAGCGAACAGG